rnacentral:misc_RNA from 1 species
GAUGAAGGAACGCAGCGAAAUGCGAUAAGUAAUGUGAAUUGCAGAAUUCAGUGAAUCAUCGAAUCUUUGAACGCACAUUGCGCCCCUUGGUAUUCCGGGGGGCAUGCCUGUUCGAGCGUCAUUAUCACCCCUCAAGCUCAGCUUGGUGUUGGGGCCUGCCUGUCACAGGGCAGCCCUUAAAAGCAGUGGCGGUGCCAUCUGGCUCUACGCGUAGUAAUACUUCUCGCGACAGAGUCCCGGUGGUGUCUUGCCAGAACCCCCCAUAUUUUAAUGAAUUGACCUCGGAUCAGGUAGGGAUACCCGCUGAACUUAAGCAUAUCAAUAAGCGGAGGA